rnacentral:misc_RNA from 1 species
GGCAGUUUCAGUGACCCAACUUUUGCUAACAAUUUGAAUUUGUUAAAGGCAAAACUGGGUUAAGUGGUCUUCAUGAAAAAUGUAGCCCUAUGUCUAAACUUUCCAUGGUUAAAAUUUUAGGUCAAUUGGACCAGUAUAGAGAGAGUUAUAUUUGGACUAGUACAGAGAGAGUUAUGACUAAAUGAACAUGUACUGUUCAUUUGGUCAUUUUCU